rfam:Triticum urartu cultivar G1812 contig27721, whole genome shotgun sequence.
GUAAUACUCCAUCCGUCCGAAAAUACUUGUCAUAAAAAAAAAGAAAUAUAUCUAGACGUAUUUUAGUUUUAGAUGCAUCUCUUUUCAUCCAUUUUGAUUACAAGUAUUUUCGGACGGAGGGAGUAGGAG